UGAAAUCCAGUUGCGCUGUUCUUCCUGCAGGGGAUAGAAGGGAGAAGCCAGCAGUGAACAUGUGUUCACAAACAUGCUAAGUAGCAACUGGGAAUCACAUCAGCUGAGGAGAUCAGCUGGCCGGACUCCUGCUGUAGGUGUGAAUCAUGAACACCUCAGACUUCAGCUCAUCACAGACAUUCAGCAUCAACACAUCUGGAGUUUACACCUGACAGAACGAAGUGACUCGUAACUAAAACUGAUGUAGUGAAGAAAAACAUCUGGCUGACAGUAGAAAGAAUCAUAAAACCAAGUGUUCAAGUAUUCAUACCGAACGUUUCUACUGAAGCCCAGUGAUGAGAAUAAUAAAGGAUCAUUUCAUCUCGUCUGACGGAGAAAUGUUCCAGCAGCAGGUCUGAUAAUAACUGACUGAAGGAGCCAUGAAAUGAUCACAUGGACACAAAAUCAAUGAUCGUAUCACUUACUGUGUUCACUGAUUUAACAAUAACAACAGCAACGUUUGAUGUUCAGCAGAUUUGAUUUAAAUGAAUCUAAUAAAACAAAUUUAACUUAAAGGCUA